GCUGUAUUAAUUACAGGUAGUGUGGUACCAUGAGGUAAUGGCUGUAUUAAUGGCUGUAUUAAUUACAGGUAGUGUGGUACCAUGAGGUAAUGGCUGUAAUAAUUACAGGUAGUGAGGUACCAUGAGGUAAUGGCUGUAUUAAUGGCUGUAUUAAU